UCCCUCCGCGCGUGAACUUUCCGUGCACCGGGAAUCUAUUCCUCUCAAUCUAAAGGGAAUCCGCGGUCUGGACGCUGCCGAGCAGGGCUGCUGUCUCCUGAGGUAUUGCCCCAUUACCUGAGGGUAUCGGUGAGCUUUCCAGACAGACGAUUAGUGGCAUUAGUCUCGUGGCACGGCGGAUCUUACACGGGCUCAGGGAUAUCAGAGAAGUUUCCUGCAUGGCUUAAUGAGAUUUUCCCACUCAUCUUCCUCUGGGGCGGCAAACUGUAAGAUAUAUUGAGACCAACGAUAGGAAGACAAGACAAGAGAAGAGAAGAGAACAGGGCCAGAAGACAACAGAAUCUGGACUCAAAUUCACCUCGAGACGUCUCCACCUGAGCUCUAUGUUAAUGCACCAAAUUGCUUCAAUCCUUUACAACACAACCAAACAACCUGCAGAUCUUCUCCUCUCAUCUGGCUUUUCUCUCACCUCGCCCUGAUCUGAGUUCAGGCCACUGGUGAGAUUUAGCAUUAACGUGCUUCUUCAUGUGAAGUUAGGAGGACGUUCUCAAACCUCUUGUACUGGUCUGGGCAGCUCUCGGUAUGCCAAGCAUCAAUAUCACUGUUUCUCAUUCUUAUUGUUCAAAUCCCUAACACUAAUAACAUUUUGUGCUACAGACACAGAUGAUUCCUCAAAUCACGCUGCUGUUGGAACUGAACUGAGAAUGCAUUUUAAAUUGCAGUUGAAUUCUUGAAUUGGAAACAGGAUGCAGAAUUGCAAUUUGAAUGCAAGGAAGUAAAAAUAAACUGAAAUUAAACUAAUGUAAAUUUAUGUCAUUUUUAAAU